rnacentral:rRNA from 1 species
GAUGAACGCUGGCGGCGUGCUUAACACAUGCAAGUCGAACGGAAAGGCCGAAGCUUGCUUCGGUACUCGAGUGGCGAACGGGUGAGUAACACGUGGGUGAUCUGCCCUGUACUUCGGGAUAAGCUUGGGAAACUGGGUCUAAUACCGGAUAUGACGAUCUCUUGGAUGGGGUUGUGGAAAGCUUUUGCGGUAUGGGAUGAGCUCGCGGCCUAUCAGCUUGUUGGUGGGGUAAUGGUCUACCAAGGCGUCGACGGGUAGCCGGCCUGAGAGGGUGUACGGCCACAUUGGGACUGAGAUACGGCCCAGGCUCCUACGGGAGGCAGCAGUGGGGAAUAUUGCACAAUGGGCGCAAGCCGGAUGCAGCGACGCCGCGUGGGGGAUGACGGUCUUCGGGUUGUAGACUCCUAUCGCGAUCGACGAAGCCUUUUGGUAACGGUAGGUUGAGAAGAAGCACCGGCUAACUACGU